rnacentral:rRNA from 1 species
AGCAUAUCAAUAAGCGGAGGAAAAGAAACCAACAGGGAUUGCCCUAGUAACGGCGAGUGAAGCGGCAAUAGCUCAAAUUUGAAAUCUGGCUCUUUCAGAGUCCGAGUUGUAAUUUGCAGAGGGCGCUUUGGCAUUGGCAGCGGUCCAAGUUCUUUGGAACAGGACGUCACAGAGGGUGAGAAUCCCGUACGUGGUCGCUAGCCUUUGCCGUGUAAAGCCCCUUCGACGAGUCGAGUUGUUUGGGAAUGCAGCUCUAAAUGGGAGGUAAAUUUCUUCUAAAGCUAAAUACUGGCCAGAGACCGAUAGCGCACAAGUAGAGUGAUCGAAAGAUGAAAAGCACUUUGGAAAGAGAGUCAAAUAGCACGUGAAAUUGUUGAAAGGGAAGCGCUUGCAGCCAGACUUGCCUGUAGUUGCUUAUCUGGACUUUUGUCCAGUGCACUCUUCUGCGGGCAGGCCAGCAUCAGUUUGGGCGGUUGGAUAAAGGUCUCUGUCAUGUACCUCUCUUCGGGGAGGCCUUAUAGGGGAGACGACAUGCAACCAGCCUGGACUGAGGUCCGCGCAUCUGCUAGGAUGCUGGCGUAAUGGCUGUAAGCGGCCCGUCUUGAAACACGGACCAAGGAGUCUAACAUCUAUGCGAGUGUUUGGGUGUCAAGCCCAGACGCGUAAUGAAAGUGAACGGAGGUGGGAACCCUUUGGGUGCACCAUCGACCGAUCCUGAUGUCUUCGGAAGGAUUUGAGUAAGAGCAUGGCUGUUGGGACCCGAAAGAUGGUGAACUAUGCUUGAAUAGGGUGAAGCCAGAGGAAACUCUGGUGGAGGCUCGCAGCGGUUCUGACGUGCAAAUCGAUCGUCAAAUUUGGGCAUAGGGGCGAAAGACUAAUCGAACUAUCUAGUAGCUGGUUCCUGCCGAA